rnacentral:lncRNA from 10 species
GCCAACUAAAAGCAGCUAGUGUGCACUGCUGUCAUGGAGAGGAAUGGAACCUCCUCAACACAGGGGAACCUCCCCAGUCCAGGGAAGUGGUGAGUAAAUAUGCAACCCCAGGAACCCAUGCUUCUCCCACAGAUCUUUGCAACCCUCAGUUCCCAACUGUUAAUUUGUUAUCCAGUCUCCUCAUGCACCAUAUUGAAAACAGAGCCUUCAGUUAAUCAUAACUCAGAAACCCAUAGCAAAUUGUAAAAAUGGCCACAUCAUAAAGUCUUCUCAUCCUGUAUGCACACUCAUUUAUGACUUUACAGUUCUUCCCAUCAAGAGAUGAAGUCUAUUCUUUACUCCUUGAAUUUGGGCUUAGCUAUGUGACUUACUUUAGUGGAUGGGACAUUAGCAAUGUGUCAGGAGCAAAUGCUUGAAAAGUGCUUGUGCAUUGGAGUUUACUCUCUGGAUGGUCUUUGGAAGCCUGGGACUACCAUAGGAAAAAAUUCAAAACCAGCCUGCUGAUAAGAGAACACGUGGAGCAAAGAUAGCAUCUCAGCUGAAGCUCUCCUAGACCCUCCAGCCACAACCAAGAAAUAAGCCAGCUAACCCUAGACAUCAGCCACGCCAUCUCAGACCAGAAGAAAUGUCCACCUGAUUAAGAGAACAGUGAGAAAUUCUUAUUUUAAGCCACUAAAUCUUGGUAGGGGUUAGCACACAGUAAUAGCUAACUGAUACAUGUUCCUUCUGCUUUCAUUUCAGUACUGAGAGCAAUUCACAUGCACAUAACUCACUUCAAAGUCCCAUGGACCCAGCAGGUUUGGGAAUUUAGAUGCUAAUAAAUGGUAAUGAUGUUUGUCCCAAUA